rnacentral:rRNA from 1 species
GACAGAGGGUGCAAACGUUGUUCGGAAUGACUGGGCGUAAAGCGCGUGUAGGCGGCUCGGCAAGUCGGAUGUGAAAGCCCUGGGCUCAACCCAGGAAGUGCACUCGAAACUGCCGAGCUGGAGUCCCGGAGAGGAAGGCGGAAUUCUCGGUGUAGAGGUGAAAUUCGUAGAUAUUGGGUGGAACACCGGUGGCGAAAGCGGCUCUCUGGCCCGGUUCUGACGCUGAGACGCGAAAGCGUGGGGAGCAAACAGG